rnacentral:rRNA from 1 species
GUGAACGCUGGCGGCGUGCUUAACACAUGCAAGUCGAACGGAUAAAAUAAGCUUGCUUAUUUUGUUAGUGGCGCACGGGUGAGUAAUAUAUAGCUAAUCUGCCCUUUAGUGGGGGACAACAGUUGGAAACGACUGCUAAUACCCCAUACUCCUUCUUGUCUUAAGAUAAGUUGGGAAAGAUUUAUCGCUAAAGGAUGGGGCUUUAUUGUAUCAGUUAGUUGGUGAGGUAAUGGCUCACCAAGGCAAUGACGGGUAGCGGUUCUGAGAGGAUGAUCCGCCACACUGGUACUGAGACACGGACCAGACUCCUACGGGAGGCAGCAGUGAGGAAUAUUGCACAAUGGGGGGAACCCUGAUGCAGCAACGCCGCGUGGAGGAUGACGCAUUUCGGUGUGUAAACUCCUUUUAUAUGUCAAGAAAAUGACGGUAGCAUAUGAAUAAGCACCGGCUAACUCCGU